rnacentral:rRNA from 1 species
UACAGAGGGUGCGAGCGUUAAUCGGAAUUACUGGGCGUAAAGCGUGCGUAGACGGUCAAGUAAGUCGGGUGUGAAAGCCCCGGGCUCAACCUGGGAAUUGCAUUCGAGACUGCGUGGCUAGGGUGCGGAAGAGGGAAGCGGAAUUUCCGGUGUAGCGGUGAAAUGCGUAGAUAAUCGGAAGGAACACCAGUGGCGAAAGCGGCUUCCUGGUCCAGCACCGACGUUCAGGCACGAAAGCGUGGGGAGCAAACAGG